CUCUCCUGCACAUCCAUUAAUGGAACAGUAGUCCGCUGCCCUCCUUUGCCAUCCUCAUCUGAGAAAGAGAUGGACAUAGAAGACCUACAAUUGAGCAGCGGGUCCUGUGCUGGUGAUAAAGAUGAUGCAGUGGUAUUAUCUUUGACACCAGCUGGAUUGAGAAGAGUUUUAUGGUCCUUUACCACUUAUUGCUCUGAUGAAUUAUUAAGCGUAAAUUAUCAAAAGACUAACGUGAUGGUCUUUGUUAAGCUACCAGUCAAACAUAGGUGGCAGAUAAAUGGGAAUGAUAUUAAGCAGGUUAUGCUCUACAAAUAGCUGAGGGUUGCUUUUCAUGCCACAGGCUCAUGGAGGGUGCAAAUUAGUUACCUAAUUUGCACUCUGAGAAUGCUGUGGUGAAUUCUCAAGAAGUGCUGCCACCAUCCUCAGAUUCUCUUUUUUUUACCCAAAUACAAGACAACUCUGAAUUUAAGACGAGCCCCUUAAAAAGAGAGGUUAAAUACAAGUUAUACCUAUAUUUACCUCAAACGAAGAGGACUCUGAAUUUAAGAUGACUCCCUGAUUUCUGAUUUCUAUUGAAGAGUAGCUUUCCCCCUAGUUAUUUGAUAACUAGGGAAAAAGCUACUCUUCAAUUUAGAUAAAUAGAGUACUGCACUAAUUGAGGUCACCACAUUCCUCCUGCAAUUAAGGUGUUUGAGGCAAAAGCAGUAGCGCAACUGCUGUAUGGUUCCCAGGUGUGUGUCUAGAAGGACUACAGCCCAUUAAAGGUCUUUCACUCUAAAUUCUUAGGAGUCCUCCUUACAGUCCCCCAUUGUGUGCCCAAUGCAGCUAUGCAGCUUGAGUUGGGCCUAGUCACAGUUGGCAUGAGCCUGGCUUUAAUAUCUAUUUAAUUUUGGGCUUAUACAAUUUUUUCUUCCAGCCAGUUUGGCCCUAUUAAUCCUGUUGGACAAUUUACAGUCUGUCUGGAGGAGGCCACUGGAGGAAAAAUUUCAGUUACAGGGUUUACCCCCUAGUCCCUAAUAGCCCUGGGUUUCUACAAAGCUAAAUUGACUCUCAAACAAUGUAUAUGGGGCAACGAGCUACAAAAAGAUAUGAGUUCGGUUCCCAGUUAUCCUAGUUUGGGGGUGUGUGUGUCCAUAAAUAGUUUUACUGCAGCUUAUUAUCUUUCUAAUCUCAUUGUUUUAAGCCAUAAGAGAGCAUUUACACUGACACACUUUAAUGUCUUGCCAUCAGCUUUACUUGAAGGGAGAUAUCGCAAUACAGUAUUCCAUUUUCUGAAUGUAUUUGUCCAUGUAAAAUGGGUGACAUUGAAAUAGUGGGACAUAUCCUUUUCUACUGCCGCUAUUAUAAAGAUUGUCACCCCGCUUUUAUGAUUCCUAUUUUAGUUAAAAUGCCAGGUAGGUCUGAAGUGCUUUUUUGUAUCCCUCCUGCUAUCAUAUCACCAUGUAGACAUCUCUGAGAGAAGUUUUUGAGAGAUGAGAGACUAGGUUUUGUGCUAUUGCUUGUACUGCACAAAAAAUGUUGUGCAAACUGAUUUAAUUAGUAUUACAUCUGCUGAUGCUUAAUGUCUCUGCUGAAUUUGUAGUGCUGAAUUUAAGACGGUUGCAUAUAUUAUGGUGUACUAUAUGUUUUUAUUUUAUUUUCAAACCAUAAUAUUAUGGUAUACUAUGUGUUUUUCUUUUCUUCUUGACUGGUUUAAGACCAUAAUAAAAUUACUACUUACUUACUA